GUAGGUGGCAAGCGUUGUCCGGGAAUUAUUGGGGCGGUAAAGCGCGCGCAGGCGGUUCUUUAAGUCUGAUGUGAAAGACCCACGGGCUCAACCGUGGAGGGUCAUUGGAAACUGGAGAACUUGAGUACAGAAGAGGAAAGCGGAAUUCCACGUGUAGCGGUGAAAUGCGUAGAGAUGUGGAGGAACACCAGUGGCGAAGGCGGCUUUCUGGUCUGUAACUGACGCUGAGGCGCGAAAGCGUGGGGAGCAAACAGGAUUAGAUACCCUGGUAGUCCACGCCGUAAACGAUGAGUGCUAAGUGUUAGGGGGUUUCCGCCCCUUAGUGCUGCAGCUAACGCAUUAAGCACUCCGCCUGGGGAGUACGGCCGCAAAGGCUG
rnacentral:rRNA from 1 species